rnacentral:rRNA from 1 species
CACGUAGGGGUGCGAGCGUUGUCCGGAAUUAUUGGGCGUAAAGAGCUCGUAGGCGGUGUGUCGCGUCGGCCGUGAAAACCUGCAGCUUAACUGUGGGCUUGCGGUCGAUACGGGCAGGCUAGAGUUCGGUAGGGGAGACUGGAAUUCCUGGUGUAGCGGUGAAAUGCGCAGAUAUCAGGAGGAACACCGGUGGCGAAGGCGGGUCUCUGGGCCGAUACUGACGCUGAGGAGCGAAAGCGUGGGGAGCGAACAGG